GGAGGAAGUGGGAGAGCAUUUGCCAAUCAGGGAAGUGAGAAGGAUGGGAAAGAGUUUGCCCCACAAAGAGCGCGCAGUGGUGGCUGGGGAAUUUCCACUGCCUCCCUUGAUCCUAACGUCACCUGGCACCAAGGCGCCCCAGGAAGCUGCUGUGCUGCCCAGGCCAGUGAUGGUACCUGACAGCCUGCUCCUCCCCUGCUCCAAGCCUGGAGCCGGCGCCUCUCGCCCUGACCAGUUCUUCAGAUACCAGUCAGGAAGCCAAGUGGGCAGCAGCCCACAGGCAGACAAUGUCUCCUGGCAUGGAGAGGACAUCUCCUGAGUGUGACACGGCAACAGGAGGGGCCUGCCAGCCUCAUGCCCGCUUUCUAACAACAUGAGCUGGCCAAGAGCACCCGGGCAGUGCUCACUCUGCUGACGGUGCUCAAGGAGGAGCUGACUGUUUAGAGGCCAUUUCUGAUACAGAAGACUCCCCUAAGACGACAGAUGAUGGGGUACAGAGGCAGCAGUUAACCCUCAGGGAAGAUUAAAAGGAAUUUGUUGUGAGCAGCUUAGCUGAGUGAAGACGACAAGCAGAAAAAGUCCAAAAUGUCCUCAACUGGGAGGCUGUCAACUGACCUAGGAGAUAACGAUGAAACAGGACUGAGGAUUGAGGGCUGCACUGAGCUAACCUGAGUCCUGGGGUGAGUCUCAAAGCCUCAGUGGCAACCAAGUUCCUUUUCUGGAAAAAGAAUUGAAGGACAGCACCCCAUCAUGUCUCCUUUCUUUAAACAGUACCUCUGAGCUUUUCCAGUGGCCUGACAAUAAAGAGCUUAAAAGAACAGGCAGAGCCCACCUGAUGCAAUACCCUUUAAGUCAGACUCGCACAGAAGAUGCCUGACAAUUGUUUUCUUUCCAAAAGAGAAUCUUGAAAAGUUCUACCCUAGUGCAUAAGCAAUAAAUCCACAAAAGAAAGCAACUUAUCCA